UCCUGCUCUUCAGCUCCAUCCAAGGAGGUGAAUACUGGCUGUAUAACAACCUGGCUAUAACCACCAUGCCAAAUUCUGCUGUGCUAUUGGUUUGUUAGAUAUAGGAAGGUGUUGACAAGAGCAAAAAUGUUGCUUGAUUGUUGAGAAAAUGCCUCUGUGAGAGGUUUUAAUGGCUUCUUCCACUCACAUGAAGAUAAUAAAUACAGAAGUGAUAGUAAGUAACAUUUUCAUUGAAGGUAUUAAAUAAGAUUUUAUUGUAGCAUUAAAGGUGUAUCAAGAACCAGUGGUUUAGCACUAAAGUCAAGCCAAUUUAAAUGAAAGAUUUCCUGUGUGCAAGAGGCCUGGUCCACAGCCAUGGGAUCGUGGCAAGCUUCCACAGGGAAAACUCACCACAGGAAAACUGCAAACUGCACCCUUUUAUAGACCUUGGAGGGAGGAUUGAAGAAACCAGGAUUCCAAUUUUAUUUCUAAAGGCUUUCUAAUUUCCUGUCCAUUGUAGAAACCCUUUAAAUCUUGUUUGUUUCAUAUGAAUCUUCCUUGAGCACCUCAGAGCUCGUGUGCAGAGGUGCAGCCUCUCCAGUGCCUCCUUACCCACCCUGGGCUGUGUCUCAGCUGACAGAUCUUCACUUCCACUUCUCUUUUUCAGGAUUGCACCACGUUACACAUCCCAACCCUUCUGUUUCAGUAGCUGGUCCAGGUCUCCACAGGAAUCUGCUGUUUCCAUCUUCUGAAAGUACAUCUCCAUUUGGCCCCCAGCAGAGCACUUCAUGCUCUGCCCCUUUACAUUCUCUGUGGACACCAGAGCAUAAG